rnacentral:rRNA from 1 species
AGAACGAACGCUGGCGGCAGGCUUAACACAUGCAAGUCGAACGCCCCGCAAGGGGAGUGGCAGACGGGUGAGGAACACGUGGGAACGUACCCUUUGGUUCGGAACAACCCUGGGAAACUAGGGCUAAUACCGGAUACGAGCGAGAGCUGAAAGGUUUACCGCCGAAGGAUCGGCCCGCGUCUGAUUAGCUAGUUGGUGAGGUAAUGGCUCACCAAGGCGACGAUCAGUAGCUGGUCUGAGAGGAUGAUCAGCCACAUUGGGACUGAGACACGGCCCAAACUCCUACGGGAGGCAGCAGUGGGGAAUAUUGGACAAUGGGCGCAAGCCUGAUCCAGCCAUGCCGCGUGAGUGAUGACGGCCCUAGGGUUGUAAAGCUCUUUUACCCGGGAAGAUAAUGACGGUACCGGGAGAAUAAGCCCCGGCUAACUUCGUGCCAGCAGCCGCGGUAAUACGAAGGGGGCUAGCGUUGUUCGGAUUUACUGGGCGUAAAGCGCACGUAGGCGGACGCUUAAGUCAGGGGUGAAAUCCCGAGGCUCAACCUCGGAACUGCCUUUGAUACUGGGUGUCUUGAGUCCG